UUCCCCUAGUAACGGCGAGUGAAGCGGGAAGAGCUCAAAUUUGAAAGCUGUUGCCUUUGGUAACCGCAUUGUAAUCUCGAGAUCUGUUUUCCGCGCUGGACCAUGUACAAGUCCCUUGGAAUAGGGCGUCAUAGAGGGUGAGAAUCCCGUACUUGACAUGGCCUCCCAGUGCUUUSUGAUACAGGCUCAACGAGUCGAGUUGUUUGGGAAUGCAGCUCAAAAUGGGUGGUAAAUUCCAUCUAAAGCUAAAUAUUGGGGAGAGACCGAUAGCGAACAAGUACCGUGAGGGAAAGAUGAAAAGCACUUUGGAAAGAGAGUUAAACAGUACGUGAAAUUGUCAAAAGGGAACCGUUUGAAGUUAGUCAUGCUUGCCUGGACUCAG
rnacentral:rRNA from 1 species